rnacentral:rRNA from 1 species
GUAGGUGGCAAGCGUUGUCCGGAAUUAUUGGGCGUAAAGCGCGCGCAGGCGGUCCUUUAAGUCUGAUGUGAAAGCCCACGGCUCAACCGUGGAGGGUCAUUGGAAACUGGGGGACUUGAGUACAGAAGAGGAAAGCGGAAUUCCAAGUGUAGCGGUGAAAUGCGUAGAGAUUUGGAGGAACACCAGUGGCGAAGGCGGCUUUCUGGUCUGUAACUGACGCUGAGGCGCGAAAGCGUGGGGAGCAAACAGGAUUAGAUACCCUGGUAGUCCACGCCGUAAACGAUGAGUGCUAAGUGUUAGGGGGUUUCCCGCCCCCCUUAGUGCUGCAGCUAACGCAUUAAGCACUCCGCCCUGGGGGAGUACGGCCCGCAAGGCUGA